GGGCGAAUGGUUUAGUGGUAUAAUACUCCCUUAGCAUGUUUCUUCCAAAGGACUUGUCUAGUAUGGGAGUGGUCCAGGGUUCGAUUCCCUGUUCGUCCA
rfam:Nectria haematococca mpVI 77-13-4 chromosome 12 genomic scaffold NECHAsca_29_chr12_4_0, whole genome shotgun sequence.